rnacentral:lncRNA from 1 species
CGGCGUACUUGACCUUUUACAACCUAAUUCGCCUGAAAUUCAGAGGAAAACAGAGGGUUUUUUUGGCAAUUUCAAGAUAGGAUCAAUCCACGACGUGUAGCAGAAACAACUCCGGUGAACUUAAGGACGAUUCCGGCGAGAUUUGUGCCAGAAACCAAAUUAAGACCAUCGGAUCCCUUAAAUCUUCUCAAUGCUCGAUCCUCCUCUCACAGUGUGUGUGCGAUUUUUUGUGUAUUUCCUGUGCCGGAAGAAGAAGAGCAGAAAAAAAAUGGCAUUGAUUGUGCUCUCUUUUUUUUCUCUCUCACCGUACCUUUCUCAUUAUCCGUCUACUCCAUUAUUGUGUGUGUGUGAUGCUGUGAGGUGAGUGAUCCUUAUGGAAGUGAUGAUGGAUUUUGG